GCCUGAGCGUCGCACGCUUUGCGUAGAUGAGGGAUGGCGCCGGCGCAGGCCUGCGCGCCACGCGCUUUAGGUGGAUGAGGGAUGGCGCAGGUGCAGGCCUGCGCGCCUCACGCUUUAUGUACAUGAGGGAUGAGGCAGCACAGGAAUUGGCACAACCUGAAGUCAGCUCUGCAGCUUUCCAAGCUUCGUUCUGCGUGUCCUGUACUCAACAGUCAUCUCAUGCUGCAGGGUGGCUGCGUGUGCUCCGUACAUCACACCCAUAUUUCAGGUAGGGACGGUUCCCGGAGGGUGCUCAGCACCAUGCCGAC
rnacentral:lncRNA from 1 species